rnacentral:rRNA from 1 species
AUGUCCCUCCAACAUUGGAUUCCUCCGCCACCUGGUUUUGUUAAAAUAAGAGUGGAUGGGGCUGUUGCUAGAAAUCAGAAUGAAGGUUCUUUUAGUGCGGUCUGUAGGGAUUCGGCGGGAGUUUACUUGGGCUCAUCUGUCAUCAGAAUUCAUGGAAUUACAGACCCGCCGACGCUAGAAGCUCUAGCUUGCUGUGAGGCGCUUGCUCUAGCUUCAGACCUAGCAUUAUCGCAUGUGAUUAUCGCCUCGGACUGUCAGGGUGUCGUCACGGAUAUACAUAACCAAACUGGGGGAAUGUAUACAAGCAUUGUCAAGGAGAUAGUAGAGGCGGCAAGAACGAUUAAUGAUUGUUCCUUCAUCUUUGAAGGUAGAGCCUCCAACCUCGAGGCAUAUAGCCUCGCUAAGCACGCUUUCGAUCUAGAUUUUGGGCACCAUGUGUGGCUUUUAAACCGAUCAGAUCUUCGAUGUAUUCCUAUGAACAUUAUUGAGUAA